AUUGAACGCUGGCGGCAGGCCUAACACAUGCAAGUCGAGCGGAGAUGAGGUGCUUGCACCUUAUCUUAGCGGCGGACGGGUGAGUAAUGCUUAGGAAUCUGCCUAUUAGUGGGGGACAACAUUCCGAAAGGAAUGCCAAUACCGCAUACGCCCUACGGGGGAAAGCAGGGGACCUUCGGACCUUGCGCUAAUAGAUGAGCCUAAGUCGGAUUAGCUAGUUGGUGGGGUAAAGGCCUACCAAGGCGACGAUCUGUAGCGGGUCUGAGAGGAUGAUCCGCCAAACUGGAACUGAGACACGGCCCAGCCUCCUACGGGAGGCGGCAGUGGGGAAGAUUGGACAAUGGGCGGAAGCCUGAUCCAGCCAUGCCGCGUGUGUGAAGAAGGCCUUUUGGUUGUAAAGCACUUUAAGCGAGGAGGAGGCUACCUGGAUUAAUACUCUAGGAUAGUGGACGUUACUCGCAGAAUAAGCACCGGCUAACUCUGUGCCAGCCGCCGCCGUAAUAC
rnacentral:rRNA from 1 species